rnacentral:rRNA from 1 species
UACGUAGGGCGCAAGCGUUGUCCGGAAUUAUUGGGCGUAAAGAGCUUGUAGGUGGCUUGUCGCGUCUGCCGUGAAAAUCCAGGGCUUAACUCUGGACGUGCGGUGGGUACGGGCAGGCUAGAGUGUGGUAGGGGAGACUGGAACUCCUGGUGUAGCGGUGAAAUGCGCAGAUAUCAGGAAGAACACCGAUGGCGAAGGCAGGUCUCUGGGCCAUUACUGACACUGAGAAGCGAAAGCAUGGGGAGCGAACAGG